rnacentral:lncRNA from 1 species
AUGCCUAGCUCCACAGCGUGUAGCAGAGAGAAAAGUGAAAUCUAAACUGGAAUGUAUUUUAAUUGUUUUACCAACAACUCUUCCCCCAAUUCUCUUGCUUUGGGGACAGACUGAUAAGCCAUGGGAAAAGGCCUCAGAUACAAAAGGAAUGGUGGAAACAGAUUGAGGCUGAGCGUUUGAGCACAUGUGGAAGCUGACUAACUGACAGAACUUUAAUUGUGGAAGCUGACUAACUGACAGAACUUUAAUUGUGUGUUGCCUUCCUGCUGUAAAUACUCUAAGUUGAUAAGAGAGGUUUAAUUGGCUGAACACUGUAAGUGGAAGUUGCCAAAGUUGAAUUGCAGCAAAGUGGGAACUGCAUGUAAACACAGUAUGCUUUGAAGCCUUUGUAAUUUAGCCUGUCACUAAGUGGAAAAUAAAAUAUUAAGUUUCCAGUUCAGCA